GGCCACACCCAUGGCAUAUGGAAGUUCCCAGGCUAGGGGUGAAUCAAGCUGUAGCUGCCGGCCUGUGCUACAGCCACAGCAACGUGGGAUCCAAGCCACAUCUGCGAGCUACACCACAGUUCACAGCGAUGCUGUAUCCUUAACCCACUGAGCGAGGCCAGGGAUCAAAACUGCAUCCUCAUGGAUAAUAGUUGGGUUCUUUACUGCUGAGCCACGGCGAGAACUCCCAACCUUGAUCUUCAUAUGACCUGUUCAUCAUCAUCACUCUCCCAACAUGGAAAUACUAUCAAAUUGCAAAGGUCUGUCAGUUCAAAGUGCAUUACCAUCCAACCUAAUAAAAUUGUUCUAUUCAGUUCUGUUUUGGAAUGUGAUAGAAUAAAUACAUUCUCUCCUGUCUCUCCCAUUGGAUGUAGCUAAGAACCUAGACAGAUUGUGCUGAACAAUAAUCUGAAGACUCAGAACAGGUGCAGUAAGAAAGAGGCCAAGAUUGGAGUACCACUGAAACAAGUGCACUUACCUUUACCACUGGCAUCCCUGGCCUAAACUCGAAGCAGCCUAAAACUCAGAAGUAAGCCUCAGUGGAGACAAAUAGUUCCAGGAAAAACUCUUUAGAUUAGCCUUAAGGAGUGGUGAGGGGUCACCUAAAACUCUUUUAAGGAGGGGAAAUUUCCUCCCCACUUGGAAGAGCUAUGGUCCUAAGACUUAAGAGAGUGGGACAAAACCUCACUGUUUCUCUAUUUUUCAGCCACCAUCCCACAAACACUGGUGGAGUCACAAAAAAUGUCUGGCAGAGCAGAACAAAUCAACCUCCAGUUUUCUGGCAGAAGGACUGAAUAGGGGAGCCUUGGGGAACUGGAAAGAAAUAGGGAAAUCAUAGAGAGGAAGGAGCUCAGGAAAGUAACCCUAUAAAGUUGGCUGUGAAUUCCUGGGCUCACUCACGAGCUGUAUGUACAUGCAUGGAUCUGACCCCAGUCAGUCCAGGACAGACUCUGAGAACUAAGCUAAGAUUUAGAUCAUUGCCCAGAAUUCAGACUUUCCGCUGAAUAAUAAACACACAGAUCAGAUCCAAACAGGAUGGCAGAGACUUUGAAAAUAGGAAUAAAAGAGGAGAUGUCACAGCAGGCAUUUCAGACAAUGAAAGGAAAAUUAGGGAAUACUAUGCAGAGAUCUAUGCACAUAAAUUUGGAAACAUAGAUGAAAAAGACUGCUCAGAAAUUACAAACAAUCUAAACUCAUCCAAGAUGAAACAGAAACUGGAAUAAUAUCAUAAGUAUCAAGGAAGUUAAAUUUCUAGAUAUAAACAUUCCAAACAAGAACUCCCUAGCUCAGACUGUUUCACUGGUGAAUUUUACCAAAACACUGAAAGAAUAACACAAAUUCUACACAAUCUCUUCCAAAAAUUAGAAGAUUAAGGAAUACUUUCCAACUGAUUUUGAAGCCAACUUUACUCCCAUACCAAAACCAGAAGACAACAGUACAACAAAAGAAAACUACAGGAGUUCUCUUGUGGCACAGCAGGUUAAGGCGUUGUCACUGCAGGGACUUGGUUCCCUGCUGUGACAAGUGUUCAACCCCUGGCCUGGGAACUUCCAUGUGCUAUAGACAACCCCCCCCCCAAAGAAAACUACAAACCAAUAAACCUUAUGAAUAUAGAAGCAAAAAUCCUUAAUAAAUGGAUUUUUCAUGUUAGCAAAUGAAAUUCAGUAACAUAUAAAAAGAAUAAUGUAUCACAGCUGAGUAGGGUUUACCCCAAGAGAACAAGGCUGAUUCCAUAUCAAAAUUCAACCAAGGUAGGGUGUGGCUUAUUAAACAUGGAAGUGCAAAAAAAUUUUUUUUUCAACCAAUGUAACCCAUCAUACUAGUAGUCUAGAAAAAAAAUCAUGAAAUUAUAUUAAUUGAUACAGAAAACCAUUUGACAAAAUUCAAUAUCCAUUCAUGAUAAAGAAAAAAAAAAAAACCUCUCCAUAAAUUAAGAUGUGAAGGCAACUUCUUCAACCUAAUACUACUAACAUCGUAUUUAACUGUAAAAAAUUGAUUGUUUCCCCUGAAAUGGAAACAAGGCAAAGAUACGACUCUCACCACCCCUAUUCUUUAUCAUACUGGAAAUCCUAGCCAAUGCAACAAUGCAAGACAAAGAAAUAGACUGUAUGUAUGUUGGAAAAGAAGAAAUAAAAAUUUUUGUAUUUACAGAUGACGUGAUUGUCCAUAUAGAAAAUCUCUAGUAAACUAUCAAAGGGGGAGAGAAAAGCUCCUAGUACUAAUAAGUGACUUUAGCAAAGUUGCAAUAUACAUAGUCAAUGGACAAAUAUCAAUCAUAUAUCUAUAUACCAGCAAUAAACAAUUGAAAGGAUUUUUAAAAAAUAUGACUUACAAUAAGUAAAAAAAUGAAAUACAAGCUAUAAGUCUAACAAAAGGGAUACAGAAUCUGUAUGCUAAAACUACAAAUACUAAUUAAGAAAGCAAAGCAGACCUUUAAAAAAAAAUGGAGAGACAGAGGGACAUACCAUGUUCAUUAAUUGGAAGACCCAAUGUAGUAAAAAUGUUAAUUCUCCAAAAUUUAUCUACUCAGACUUAUCUAUGUCUCUCAUGUAAUUAAAGAAGCAGAAAGUGUACAAAAAAAAAGAUGAGGUAUUCAAAAUAUGAAUAUCGUAAUCUUAGAAAGAGCAUAUACAUUAGUUUUCCAUUGCUGUUCUAAGAAAUUAGCAAAAACUUUGUGGCUUAAAAUGACUCAGUGUGUAAUGCCACCAUUGUGGAGAUCAGAAGCAAAUAUCAAGGUGUUGACAGGACUGCCUUCCUUUCUGAAAGCUCUAGAGGAGAAUUCUUCUCCUUGCCCUUUCCAACUUUUAGAAGUCACUCACAUUCCUUGGCCAAUGGCCCUCUUCCUGCAUCUUCAAAGCCAGUCACAUUGCAUCUCCCUGUGCCUUUUGUCUGUAAUUGUAUGUCCUUCUAACUCAUCUUUUGCUUCCUUCUUCCCUUCUUAAGGACCCUUGUGAUUUUAUUGGGCCCAACCAAGUAAUCCAAAAUAAUCUCCUUACUUUAAAUUUAGCAGUUUAACAACCUUAAUUCCUCUUUGCUAUGUAACUUAAUAUACUCAUAGGUUCUGGGGAUUAGAAUGUAGAUAUAUUUGGGGGGAAGGAGUUAUCACUGCUAGCAUAGCUGAUAUUACUAACUGAUGAAUUUUAAGAAUCUGAUGGGGAAUUUAAAAAGAUAUUGAGAUGUUAAAGACAAAGCUUAAGCUAAAGAAGGGUUUCACACACAGGACAAAGAAAAUAUUUAUUUAUGACUGAGUGUGGAAAUGUUUUUACAUUUUUCUUGUAAGUUCUCUUUAUCUCAUUAAUACUCUCCAGAAGGUUAAUAACUCUUUUAGGUCAGUAAUUCCAUAAGCAUGAGGUUGAACUACAAGUCCAUUUGGUGUUCUGUAUGGUUAAGAAACCAAACAAGUGCAUCAUACCUUGUAAAAUAUAAGCCUAAACUGAAUUUGGAAGUGGAUCUUAAUAUGAUAAAUGCAAUCAGAGAACACAAAAAUGGCAUUACUUUUUGAUGUACCUGGAAUAAAAUGAAUAUAACUUCAUUAGUAGAGAGAAACUCUAGAAAGAGAAUAGACUAAUGAAUGGAAAAGUACCAUAAUAACCAAAAUUAUUCUUACAUAAUUUGUGUUCUUCAAGAACAAUCAUUUGAUUAAUCAUGUAACAAUGACCUUAUAGGUUGAGUGGAAGAAAUAUUUUACAAAGACAAUAUCCUUGGGCUGAGAAUAAAAAUAUCUCCAUCUGGCAAACCUAAUGAUAAAUGUACUCUAGAAUUCUAUUAAAAAGAGGGUGUCUGUGCUACAUUUAAUAAAUUAUAUUGACAAGCCACUUUUGCUCCAUGUUAGCAUGUAUAUUCCUGGAGAUAGAUGCACCAAUUCUCAAACUUUCUUCCACAGUGGGCAUUCAUGAAAGAUUAUGGCAUUCAUAGGCACAUUGGACAUAAUUAAGAUUUAAGUUCAAUUCCCUGUAAGGUAUUUCUGGUACCACAUCUUUUUCUCCCACUCUAGGUAAUAUAGUUGACAGUUUGAGAAUUAAAUUCAUGUUAUUAUAGGUAUAACAGAAAGCUUCUUGGAAUCUCCCUCCUUUUAAUGCCCAUAUAAUUACCAUCUGGGUCUCCAUUAUGUGUGACUACACAAAGCCCAAGCCCCUUCCAGAGACCUGAGAAUUUGGAAAUAAAGCUUACAUUCUCCUGGUUGUGGCUAUGCCAGGAUUCCCUGUCAUUUUUCUCCACCUCUGCCAUCUCACUCAUAAUCACUCCCCAUGCUGGCAAAUUUGUCUCUCCUCUGUCUCACUCCAAAACUAGAUACUACCUUCUUUUGUCCAAAACACAGCUCUCACAAGGCUUUCUUCCUCAAAAAGCUUCACUGAAGAAAUUCUCCUAUAAGUUACCCUCAGUCAGGGAUCUUUGUUUUGUCUCUGAGAUAGCCUACAUAUCUAGAAUAUUGCCUGGCACAUAGUAUGUGUUCAGUAAAGGCCUGUGGAAUAAAUAAAAGUUCAUGGAAAUGUAAGGUAAUUACAGUGCAAAAAAGUUCGAAAUCCUACUCCUAAAAUCCAUCAGUCAUUCCCCGGCUCUCAAUGAAAUGAUACUUUUCCUACUGUGAAAACCCCAUCUUUACUUUGUCCUAGUUGCCCAGGAGAAAUCAAACCAGUUAACCCCAUAAUAACCUCUCAGAAAUGCUGUUGUGACCUCAGAAAACACAGUCAUUUACAUUGCUUUGUGGAGCAGUUGGAUUUCUUUCAUUCCAAAUCCAGCAUUCUAGAAUAGGAUUUUAGUUUACUUUUGCAUAACCAAGGUUGAUGCAAAUGUUUACUCCAAAAAACAAAACUCCUUCUAUCUCAAAUGCGAUAGGGAAUUCAUCUUUAGCAAGUACAAUGUGCCAAUGAAAGCUUUGAAAUUCCAUGUUUUUUUUUUUUUUUUGUUUUUUUUUUUCCCUUAAACACUUAAAGAACACGGAUCAGUUCCCCGCCUCCCACCUGGCACAUAUAUAGCUGCCUGGAAAGGGAAAAGUGAAAAGUGUUUCCCAAUUCACUAGAAAGAAAAGGUAAGAAGGAGAAAACGUGUCUCUGUUUAUGGAAUCACAAAUGUCAUACCUUCCCCUGCCCUACCAUGCACAUACAAAGAUGACUUUGAUAUCCUCCAAUUUUUUAUUUUUUGAAAAAAUUAUAUGCAAACUUUCUUAUAAUGAUUGUUAUUGGCAACAUAUCACUAGUGAUCUUUUGUCACCACCAAUGGGCCAUAGCAGCGUGUCAUGACAUUUUAGCGGAGAGCACAAAGCAAUAGCUAUAACCUAAGGUCUUCACUCUCCUAGCUUUGUUUCCAAAUUUAUGCCUGGUGUUAAAGGGUUAUUUUCCAAAGAUAAUUUACAGAUUUGGAACAUAAAGCACAUACACAUGUAUAAUCAAAGCAAUAACAACUCUAUAUCAUAAAUGAAGAAAAGUCACAAAAGUCACAAGUCACGACAUGAGCACAGGUAGUGUUUCAUACUACCUAAAAUCCCAAAAGGUUCAAAUCCAAGCUCUAGCUCUUAUUACCAUGAUCUCAUGAUAUGUUUCUGUGAGUAAAUUAAACGACCUCUCUGAGUCAGUCUUUUUUUUUAACUCACUGAAUUUUAUUACAUUUAUAGUUGUACAAUGAUCAUCACAACCCAAUUUUAUAGCAUUUCUGAGUCAGUUUUCUUAUCUGUAAAUAGGCACAUUAAUGCAGGUCCAGUGACAGAUAUAUAGUCAUGCUUCUAGAAAAUCAAAGUCUCAACUCAGUUGGCCCUGCAAUGCCUUACUGCCUUUUCUCCCUUUUUUUUUUUGACUUUUAAAAACACUUUUAAUGAAAGCAUAGUUGAUUUACAAUGUUCCUUCAAUUUCUGCUGUACAGCUAAGUGACCCAGUCAUACAUGUAUAUAAACAUUCUUUUUUUUUUUUUCAUACUAUCUUCUAUCAUGUUCUAACCUAAGAGAUUGGAUAUAGUUCCCUGUGCUAUACAGUAGGACCCCAUGCUUAUCCAUUCCAAAUGUCAUAGUUUGCAUCUACCAACCCCAAACUUCCAGUCGAUCCCACUCCCUCCUCCCUCCCCCUUGGCAACAACAAGUCUGCUCUCCAUGUCUGUCAUCCAUUUCUGUUUCUUACCACCUUUUCUACUCUGAUCUUUUUGCUCUCCCAUCUUCCAUAGCUACAAUCUCAUACCUUUUAUUCUCAGACUUGAGCCCAGACAUGACCUCCACUCUCAGUGAGAAAAGAAGAAGCCAUCCUAAGUAAGUGACUAUAUAAUUUCUCUUCCAGACUGAGACAGUUUUGAGAAUAAGAGGGGAUACUCCUAUAAUUACACCAGGACUAGAGUUUUCAACUAAGAUUUUCCCAAACACACUAGGACAUAUAGUUGCUUCAGUAACAAAUUCCCUCAAUUUGCAAUCAUCAAGCUGAAAUAAUCCCACCUCUAUCUGCAUGCUCCCUUUUUCUCCUUUCCUACUGUUAGAGGGGGAAAUGUACUGCUCCUCCUAUCAAUGACAAAUCCCUCUGCUUAUGCUGUGGACACAUUUCCUCUCACCUUCUCAACAUUUUAGCCUUACUCUG
rnacentral:lncRNA from 1 species